rnacentral:rRNA from 1 species
GAAGCGGGAAGAGCUCAAGCUGAAAAUCUUCGGAAUUGUGGUCUAUAGGUGCGGACUCGCGCAGCCCCAGGUAUAAAUCCGUUCUUGGAAUUGGGUGCCAGAGAGGGUUAGAGCCCCGUCUUUGACUUGGGUAGCUGUGCGUGGCGAGUCUUUACCGGAGAGUCGGCUUGCUUGGGAAUGCAGGCCAAAAUGGGUGGUAAACUUCAUCUAAAGCUAAAUAUUGGCGAGAGACCGAUAGCGAACAAGUACUGUGAAGGAAAGAUGGAAAGAACUUUGAAAAGAGAGUGAAAAAGGGCUUGAAAUUGUUAAGAGGAGAAGUGAUUGGAGCAUAUCAUACGGCGUGGGGUUCCAGGGACGGGACUUGUCUUGUCUUGCACCAUCCCGCGCUGUUGGUCAGCAUCGGUUCUGUGUGGGGGAGAAAACCCUUUGCGUUGAUGGCUUCGGCUUGAUCGUUUUGGGCGAAACCUUGGACGGGACCGAGGCAGCAAGUCUACGCUUGGCGGCCGGCCCCCUGCCCGUUUUGGGGCGCGUUGUACACCCUUUUGGCGUCUGCGGCGCGUGUUGGAACGAUGCGGGGGAGCGCUGGACCUGUAGACUCGAGAUGUUGGCACAAUGGCUUCAAUCAGCCCGUCUUGAAACACGGACCAAGGAGUCUAACACGUAUGCGAGUAGUAAGGUGGCAAACCUUGGAUGCGCAAUGAAAGUAAAUGUAGGUGGGAUCCGCAAGGUGCACCAUCGACCGACCAGGAUCUUUUUGUGAAAGGUUUGAGUAAGAGCAUAUUUGUUGGGACCCGAAAGAUGGUGAACUAUGCCUGAAUAGGGUGAAGCCGGAGGAAACUCCGGUGGAGGCUCGUAGCGGUACUGACGUGCAAAUCGUUCGUCAAAUUUGGGUAUAGGGGCGAAAGACUAAUCGAACCAUCUAGUAGCUGGUUCCCUCCGA